rnacentral:tRNA from 1 species
GGGCACGUAGCUCAGUCGGCAGAGCGCUACACUCACAUUGUAGAGGGCGUGGGUUCAAGUCCCGCCGUGCCCA